rnacentral:rRNA from 1 species
UACGUAGGGGCUAGCGUUAUCCGGAAUUACUGGGCGUAAAGGGUGCGUAGGCGGCCUGGUAAGUUAGAAGUGAAAUUUUGGGGCUCAACCCCAAAGCUGCUUCUAAAACUGCUGGGCUAGAGUGCAGGAGAGGAAAGCGGAACUCCACGUGUAGCGGUGAAAUGCGUAGAGAUGUGGAGGAACACCAGUAGCGAAGGCGGCUUUCUGGACUGUAACUGACGCUGAGGCACGAAAGCGUGGGGAGCAAACAGGAUUAGAUACCCUGGUAGUCCCUGA